rnacentral:rRNA from 1 species
GAUGAACGCUGGCGGCGUGCCUAAUACAUGCAAGUCGAGCGAACAGACGAGGAGCUUGCUCCUCUGACGUUAGCGGCGGACGGGUGAGUAACACGUGGAUAACCUACCUAUAAGACUGGGAUAACUUCGGGAAACCGGAGCUAAUACCGGAUAAUAUAUUGAACCGCAUGGUUCAAUAGUGAAAGACGGUUUUGCUGUCACUUAUAGAUGGAUCCGCGCCGCAUUAGCUAGUUGGUAAGGUAACGGCUUACCAAGGCAACGAUGCGUAGCCGACCUGAGAGGGUGAUCGGCCACACUGGAACUGAGACACGGUCCAGACUCCUACGGGAGGCAGCAGUAGGGAAUCUUCCGCAAUGGGCGAAAGCCUGACGGAGCAACGCUGCGUGAGGGAUGAAGGUCUUCGGAUCGUAAAACUCUGUUAUUAGGGAAGAACAAAUGUGUAAGUAACUAUGCACGUCUUGACGGUACCUAAUCAGAAAGCCACGGCUAACUACGUG